rnacentral:rRNA from 1 species
CAGCCGCCGCGGUAAUACGAGGGGAGCUAGCGUUAUUCGGAAUUACUGGGCGUAAAGCGCACGUAGGCGGCUUUGUAAGUUAGAGGUGAAAGCCCAGAGCUCAACUCUGGAAUUGCCUUUAAGACUGCAUCGCUUGAAUCCAGGAGAGGUGAGUGGAAUUCCGAAUGUAGAGGUGAAAUUCGUAGGUAUUCGGAAGAACACCAGUGGCGAAGGCGGCUCACUGGACUGGUAUUGACGCUGAGGUGCGAAAGCGUGGGGAGCAAACAGGAUUAGAGACCCCAGUAGUCCCUGUCCUUAUACA